CUUUUAUAGGAUAACAGUAAUCCAUUGGUCUUAGGAACCAAAAACCUUGGUGCAACUCCAAAUAAAAGUA
rnacentral:tRNA from 1 species